UCUUAUCUCUCCACUCUCAAUCUCUGUCUCUAGUCUCUUCUAAAGACUUAUGUCUCUUCCCCUUCUCCGAUGAGUCCCUUCGUCUUCUCCGGUGACUUUCUCCAUCGGAGACCAUAGAUUCCUCAUCCCCUUCCACCAUUAGACCAUAAGUGUUCAAGGUUUUGAAGAAUGGCCUCGAUGGUUCUCUUUUAAAACAUCUCAUAUCUUCAUUUCUAUGGCUACUCUGGCCUGUUCCGGCGUACCCAAUGCAUUAGAAGCCUUUUCUGACCUCCUCGACCUAGGAUCAGACAUUCUUACAAAGUCUUUCUUGCUUCUAGGGUCUCUCCGAAACCCUAAGUUGUUCAAGGUUUUUCUCAGUUUAUUUUUGUAGAUCUAUGGUAUGUUUGUGUGCUACUGGGUUUCUAAAGUGUUUUCCCCAAAUUUUUUCUUUCAAAAUCGUUUGUCUUCAAUUUAAGGUUUUCUGGAAAAUUUUCGAAAUAUCUUUCUGACUCUUCUUCUUUUUUUCAUGUGUGUUUGUUUGUAUCAUACUAGUGUGACUCCUUUUACUAUACAUGUGUUGUUCUGCUACUUUUCUUUUCUACUAUACUCACAUGUUAAUCUGUAGUAUAUUUUCCUUACUUUUCGUCUAUGUGUGUUUUAUCGUGAGUUCUUUGAUUCUGUUUGCUUUACUGGAUUCCGUUUGUGUUUUUCUAAACAUGUUUCAUCUGCCUUUUCCUAAGUUCGUAUCACUUAUUUCUUCUGAGUUUGUUUAAGUUCAGAGCUUUUAUUAAAAAUAUGUUCUUCAUGCUUUAAAUCGGUCUUCUUUCCUUGUUGUUUCAAAAUUGCUAUCAUAUCUGUUUUGCUUCUUAUAAGACUCUGAAGUAGACAUUUGAGUCUGUUUCAAUGACCUGCCUUCUCGUCUCUGUGCCUAAUUCAAUUUGAAACCCUGGGAUUUGGGGAUUUCUUCGUGUAUUUUGAUUUUAUGUUCAAGUUAGGGUUCUACUUUGGAAACCUGAACUCUUACACCCACUAUGACUCUGCAAAACUGAACUUGUAUCUCUUUUAUGAUUCUGAAAUUCUCUCUUUUACAUAACUCGACAGUCUCUUCUAAAUUCAUGCUUUGUACUUUAUAUAUGAGAACUCUUCUCUAAAGAUGUUUUGCCAACUACUGAUCCCUUAGAUGGUGUUUACUUGAUUGUUCCGGAUUUUCCUUAAGUGAAUUUUUUACCCUUUUCUCGACCUGAUUCAUUCAAAUAAGCAUGUGAUUUUGGUUGUACUAAUUGAUUCUCUUUCCCUUUUUCUUACAACCUUGUGCCACUAGUUUUUUUCCUUAAACAACUUCUAUGCACUUACCCUUUAUUAUACUACUAAGAAAAUAAUUUGCAAAUCCCUUUCCUUAAUUGUUUUACCUGUUUGAAUUUUGAAUCUCUUGAUUAAAGAGAUUACAUAUGUUAAUUGAUUGUAAUUGAUGUAUAAUUAUUUAAUUACUGUGAUUCCUCCCUUACUCUCUAAUUAUUUUUAACUAUUAAUGCCCGACCUUCUUUUUCACAAAACACAUUUUCAAUUCAACAAUUGAAUACGCAACAGUCUUCUGACUUACACACAUUACUACUUUAAAAACCUGCAUUACCUUUUGCUCGUUUUCUCUACUGAUGUUCUCUGCUCAUACCUAUUGUUAACCAGCUGAAAGCCAAGGCUAAAAUAUACUGCUACUACUUUGUCUUUGGAUCCUGCUCUUGCUCUUUUACUAGUAUGUCUUGAUUUAGUUCCCAGCAAUCAUCCAAUGUGUUUACUUAUGCCUUUGUAAUUAUGCCUUUACCUGCAAAGUUUGACAUGUUCAUAUACUGUUGUUUUGCUUUAUUUUCCUGCAAAUGCUUGAUCCCUAUACCAUUACCCUCUAUGUGUUUGUAGAAUGGGGAUUCAGGGCAUGGCAACAUGAAUUGUUGUCCAUGAACUGAAUUUUAACCCCAAGUAAAAGGUGUGCCAGUAUGUUUUAUUGUUGAUGAUGUCCUUUGCCCACUACUCCUUGUCUGUUUUUUCUGUUAUGAACUCUCUAUCCUUACCCCCCCCCCCUAUGUAUGCUGCGCUACGGUUAUGGUUUAGUAGUCUUUAAGUGGCUAUCCAGGUCUGAACCUGGCUUUCAAUAAGCUCUAACUCCUGAACUUGAGAAUGACAAGUUGGUCAAGGGUGUGCCAGCACUUCAAAUUACUUGGCAUGACCACUAGCUUACCAUUUCCUGCACUUGAACUUAUUCUUAGUCUCUAAGUUUUUCCCCCAUCCUAUGAGCCUUGCCUUGGGACCUUGAGUUCCCUCUGAACUUGGACAUUUGAGGGCUGGCCCUUCCACACUGCACUAUAAUCUAAUUCUGCAAUGACAUUUGGGGUAUAUGCAUUGCCUGGAGCUCUUGAAGCCCCAUGGAACUUUGACACAUCCCAAAUAAGAGAAGGCUUUGGAAAUCUGAUCAUGGAAGUUGGUUUACCUCAUACUAUUAGACUCCAAGUUUGAAUUAGGCUAAUUAGAUGUACAUGUAAUCACUGAUGUAAUUUUACUUUUUUUUAUUCAUCUGGUCUGUAAUAAUUUUUUUUUUUUAAUUGAAAUUGGCU
rnacentral:lncRNA from 1 species